CCUACGGGCGACAGCAGUGGGGAAUAUUGCACAAUGGGGGAAACCCUGAUGCAGCGACGCCGCGUGAGUGAAGAAGGAUCUCGGUAUGUAAAGCCCUUUCAGCAGGGAAGAAAAUGACGGUACCCGUCUACGAAGCCCCGGCUAACUACGUGCCAGCACCCGCGGCAAUACGUCGGGAGCAAGCGUUAUCCGGAUUUACUGGGUGUAAAGGGAGCGUAGACGGCGCUGCAAGUCCGGAGUGAAAGCCCAGGGCUUAACCAUGGUACUGCUCUUGAAACUGGGGAGCGUGAGUGCGGGAGGGGCAGGCGGAAUGCCUAGUGUAGCGGUGAAAUGCGUAGAGAUGAGGAGGAACACCGGCGGCGAAGGCGGCCUGCUGGACCGUAACUGACGUUGAGGCUCGAAAGCGUGGGGAGCAAACAGGAUUAGAUACCCUAGUAGUC
rnacentral:rRNA from 1 species